rnacentral:lncRNA from 1 species
AUUGCAUCUGUAUGACCCAGGGAAGGAGAGCCUCAGGAUAAUGAAAGACAGACUCUGUUCCUAAGAUGGAAAGAAAACCAGCCUUUGGAAAGCCACGACACACGGGGAAAGAUGCUCGAAAAUAGCAGAGUAGCACUGUGUCGUGAGCUUUCAAUCAUCUGCUUAGUGAGAAUAUCAUCAAAGAAGGCAGAAGACACAUCCAAACCACAGAUGUACCAAGUACAACAUACGGGCUGUAGUAGCUGGAAUGGGGAAUGGUCCCCUCGUCUUGGGAGUUGAGCACUUGGUCCUCAGCUCCUGGCACUGUUUGGAGAGGUUUAGGAGGUGUGGCCUUGCUGGGGAAAACAGACAACUGUGAUAGUCACAGGUUCUAACUCAAGAGGUACAGCAGGCCACAUAGGACCAUGUCUAUCAGGACAGCAGGCAGGAAGUAGGCAGGAGGCAGGAGUAGGGUGCAGGGGUGGGAAGGUUGAGGCCAGGGCUUUUACUAGGGUUUCUUGGGGACCGUAAAACGAGGCAAGAUGAGUAGUUUAGGAUUAAUUGCUUCAGGUUGUUGCUGUUGGCAUGGGAAAUGUGCCCCCAAUGGGUUUGUGUGUUUGAAAGCUUGGUCUUCAGCUGGUGGCACUCUUAGAGAAGCUUUGGGGGGGGGGGGAGGGAGCUCAUUGGAGAAAAUGGGUUAAUGGGGACCAGCUGUGAGGCUUAACAGCCCUGGCCCGUUUUAUGUUCAUUCUCUGCUUCCUGUCUGCUGAUGUCACGUGACCAGCUGACCUGCCCCUCCUGCCGCCUGAUGCUACCUCUGCCUUUCCUGAUGCCACGUGACU